rnacentral:rRNA from 1 species
GUGUCAGCCGCCGCGGUAAUACAGAGAGUGCGAACGUUGUUCGGAAUUACUGGGCUUAAAGCGCACGUAGGCGGCGCCGCAAGUGCGAGGUGAAAGCCCACGGCUUACCCGUGGAACUGCCCCGCAGACUGUGGUGCUCGAGGAUGGUAGGGGAGAGCGGAACUCCUGGUGGAGCGGUGAAAUGCGUAGAUAUCAGGAGGAACACCGGUGGCGAAGGCGGCUCUCUGGUCCAUUUCUGACGCUGAGGUGCGAAAGCUAGGGGAGCAAACGGGAUUAGAUACCCCCGUAGUCC